GUUCCUCAAGGACAUUGUGUUUUUCUGACAUGGAUGGUUACAGAUGGCCCCACAGCAGGACCACCACAGGACACAGCUGAGCUAAUGUGUGAAAACACAUUUUAAAAAAUGGUGAUAAAGACCAAGGGAAAGGAACAGCAAGAUCCGAGAACAGGUCCAUGAUGGAGCAGUCACACCUGAAGGAAAUGAAACCUGUGGAGGACUCAUGUUGGAGCAGAGGAAACAAGAAGGAAGGAGCAGCAGUAAAGAAUAGUGAGAAACGAGUGGCAGAGAGAACAUGCUGUGCCCUGACCCCAACCUACUGCACUGCCUAUUGCCUCACCAAAGAGACUGAGCAUAACCUGCAGUGAUAAGGUCAGGUAUGGAGACUGGGAAUGGGGAAGGAAGAUGCCUGAAGCAAAGCCGAGACUAGGAAAGAAGCAGUAUUGAAUAAGGAAAAUGGAAUGCAUUAGAUCACAUGUAACAGAACUAAAGAAGGAAAGUAUAAAAUCUCAGCUCCAGCGUGAAGGAUCAAGUCUGUACUUGGGGAAGGAAUCAUCUACAAAGGCAACAAAAAUGAGAAAAAAGGAACUAUUUCAUGAAAAUUAAUUCUUUUAAAUUAAAGCAAGAGACUAAUAUUCACAAUGCUUCUGUUGAUUAGGACUCUCAUAUAUACCAUUUGCUUGUGCCCAAAUUUAGGAACUACAGGACAAGACAAGGCAAUCUUCAAAUUUACAUAGAGCACAAGGGUGUUACAGUAAGUGUGCAAAUCCAGGAAUAGACCCUAAAAAAAGAUGUUGAUAGCCAAGGUCAGUCACUGCAGUCUGUCAGCUUCUCAGGGUUUUUUUUUGCGGCUUGGUACGGUGCAAUUAUUACUGCACUGUCAUAAUCUCUGCCUGCUGCCAGUUUUGUCUUCCUCAUAUCCCUGUCAACAAGUUGAUGAUGCAUUGUUGGUGUUCAUUAGCCCUUAUACAAUCUUACUGACUACAUCACACCAAAAAUCUAACGUUCUUCAGUAUGACAUAUUUAAGUAUGUCGUACUUCUGAAAUUGCUACGAAAUCCCCUAGAUCCCCCAGAAGUGUCACUUUUGCACUGUCAAAUUUCUGAGCAGUCUUACAGUCAGAUUGAGUUUUAAGAACAGUUUACCCUUAUGAUUAUCCAUCAUACCUGCAUGUGAUGCGAAGUGCAGUGAUCAGUCUGGUAGGAAUAUGCUAGUAGAAGCUAGAGUACAUGGGAAUGAAACCUCAUUUCAGUGUGGUGACUGGGAGCUCAAUGGGAAGGGAUUGACGCAAUGCCAAACGUGGCCCAAAAGCUGUGUAUUGUACAGUGUUGGUGGUUCAGGUUGCUGACAGCACACACUAUUUUUAGUUUAGUGAGCUGAUGUUUCACAGUACCUACUUCCUCUUUAGCAAAGAAAUUUGACUCUGUGCAGGGUGGCCAGUACUGCUCACAGGCACUUGCUGUGGCCUUGUGCACUCGUCUUGUUGGCGCAGACAAUGCGUAUGCGGAGCAGAGUCUGCAGCCGGAUGCGAUGUCCCGCUUUCUCUCGCUGCACUGAGCAGCCUGCACAUGUGUGGUAGCAAUGCCUUCAGCUUAUUUGUGUUUCAUCCAUUCCUCUUACAGUAAUUCAGUUUCAAGUUGUGGCCUGCAGGUAUUUACUACGUAUUUCACCAUGCUUGUUAAUAUUUACUGUUUUUUACAUUCAUGUAUUGUGUUUGGUGAAACCUGUUUUCUUGCUUUAGGCAUCUAGUGACAACAGUAUGUGCUACAUCAUCAGUAGCUACUCUCAGCCAGCUGUCAGCAUCGUGCUUACAGUUUUAACAGCUAGGCUUAUUAGGUUACUGGUGCUAGAAUAUGAUGUAGCACUAGACAGUUUUUUUGCCUUUAUAAACUGCAUAAUCUGCAAAUACUUUGAGUUCUUACUUGGAAAAUACUCAGCAUGGGUUGACACAGGUAAUGAAAAGGCGAUUUAAAAAAAAAUCAAGAGAAUUGUGAUUAUAUAUUUAUACCUGCAAUUAUAUCUGACAACUUGGAAAUACCAAUGACUACUCCAGAUAAAGUACAUCUGCAAAAUUUUAGUCAGUUUGGAUUUAUAGUAUUUUAUAUCAAUAGAAAGACAAAGCAGAAUGUGAAGCCAAUUUGUUCAGUGUUUUCCUGUACCCAAAGUUAAGGAUAACUGGCUACAGUUCCCAGACCUGGAUGGAGUUCUGAUCUCAGUGAAUUUGUUCUGGUCACAGUGCUCCUGUGAUUUCACUUCUGAUGCCCAUUAUAAUUUGAACCUGAUACCAGCAUCAAAUCUCAGAGGUAUAUAUCCACAUUUCAACCAUUUUCAAAAUUCAAGGUAAUUGCUGACCACAUCUGACAAGCACAAAUGGCACAAACAGAUACAAUAUUGUAAUUACAACACAAGUACAGAGAUGAUUUAAUUGUUGUAGGUGACACUUCUAUGAGAUACAAUUAACUCUUUAAUGUGAAUAUAUGGGAAGACGGAACUACUCUUUUACCUGCACAAUUCAUCUUAUCAAUUCUUUUUGAGAGUUUAUACCACCUGUCUGACAAUUCAACUCAUACAGAUAAUAAUGAGAUUAUUACUUGAGUAACUGUGCCUUUCUAGGAAAGAUCCAGUUUUAGAAACCAGCGAUUCAUCACAAUCAAACUUUUUUAUAUCUGCUUGGGAAAAGUCAAUAGCUGACUAGCAAACUUUCCACUGUUUCAAAGUGCACACACACACACACAGAAUUGAAGUGAACAUUCUCAGUGUUUCUAUGACUAAUUAUCUUAUGCAGGUGCCCUCACACCACCAUUAAACCAUAUCACAGAGGAAGACUGUUACAGUUAUUCUGCAGGAUAAUUUUAAAUAUCAACAAAUAAUUUAAUGUAUCUUUGUAUUAUUAAAGAAUAAUUGUAUAAUGUUUGCUAAGUAGAAAAUUAGGGGACUUUGAAGCUGACAAUUAUCUCUGCGUGUGUGUGUGCAUGGCUUUCUGAUCCCGAUUAUUUUUAGUCAUAUAAAUUUGGUAUUUAUAGUGUUUGUUAUUUUUUCUUUGUCAUGAAGUAUUACUGCUGAUCUGUGCACUAAUUAGUUUUGUAAAAUAUACCCUAAUAGUAGUCUGUAUUUAAACUUAGAUGUUACUUGCCCAGAAUAUAUGGUUUUGUUAAUUCUCUUAUUUGGAGAUCUAACGUCUAAAAAUCAGAAGUAGCAGCAAAUGCUAUUUCAAGCUAUCACUUUUCUCUGCCAGUUUCUCUGCUGGUUGUUUUUCUAAACUGAAGUUGUUUUUAUAUAUUUUGCAACUGGCAUUCAUGAAAUAAUCUGGACCAUUUCUGAGACACUGUGAAUGUACUAAGGAAAUCUGGAGGAAAAAGUUAUUAAUUCAGCUAUUAAUUUUACUUCAUUAAACUGAAGGUAGAAUAGGCAGCUGCAAAUGAAAUAAUUUCACUGAGUUCUGGGUUCAGAAAGGUUCUUUGGAGGUUUUAUUUCUGUGAGCUGAUAUACCUCAGGGUUCUGGUUUUAAUGAUUGUGCUUUAUUUUAAUUCUCUGCCUCAUUUCUGUGCAAAGCUAGCUCUGGAUGCAUGUGAGCAGACUUUAAAAAUGUAUCAUGAUAAUAGAAUAAUUAAACUAUUAAUCUUCCUAUAUUUCUGAAGGUUGGUAAUCCAUCUUCUUUAGUUAAAAGGUUCAUUGCCUGGUCCCAGGCUUAAAAAUAAGUUUUUUUGUGAGCUAGAGAUUUCCUCAGGUCACCACUUGACACAGAUUAAUACCAUCUCCAAACCUCUGUAACCCAUGCCCUGUAAUCACCUAUGACUAAUGUAGAAGAGAAGACAGGGAAGUGGGGGACACAGACCGAAAGGAUCAAAAGGGAUGUAAAGCUUUAUGCACAAAAAAGUGGGUUAGCAAGUUCAUAAUUAUUCCAAAGCAUAGGAAUAUAAAGGUGUCUUGGACUGCUUGUAAAUUUCCCUGGUUUUCAAGCAGUGUUGCUCCACAGGACAGGCAAAGCAAUAUGUUCUAAGGCUUCUAUGUCAGCUCUCCCAGACCACAAAACUUAUUCUUGUAGUGACUUCAAGCAGUCUGGGAGAACAAAAUCCUUUAUAAUGGCAAAUAUGCUGCAAAUAUGCUGCAAAUAAGGGUCCAACUAUAUGUGCAAAAGCACAUGUUCUCAAAGCAUGGUGACAGUACCUCAAAACUCAGUAUUUGCCAUUAGCAUAAAAUUGUAUUUUUUUUUUUUAGUUUUAUGUAAGUUGAAAUAAGAGUUGUCUGCAGUAUAUCAGCUAGCAAUGUGUAGUAUUUGUAAAUAAUGACAAGCUCUGUGUGUAUAAGACACAAUUUUUUACAGCAGCAGAAAGAGGUUUAUUGAUGUAUGUGCUGCUUGGGAUGCUCUGAACAGGGCUUUGCCACCAACUUUAAUGACACUGCUAUUAUACCUCUCUGUUUUAAGUUUCAGCUCUUUU